rnacentral:rRNA from 1 species
UACGGGGGGAGCAAGCGUUGUUCGGAAUUACUGGGCGUAAAGGGCGCGUAGGCGGCCUGCUAAGUCACACGUGAAAUCCCUCGGCUCAACCGGGGAACUGCGUGUGAUACUGGCGGGCUUGAAUUCGGGAGAGGGAUGUGGAAUUCCAGGUGUAGCGGUGAAAUGCGUAGAUAUCUGGAGGAACACCGGUGGCGAAGGCGGCAUCCUGGACCGAGAUUGACGCUGAGGCGCGAAAGCUAGGGGAGCAAACGGG